rnacentral:rRNA from 1 species
UACAGAGGGGGCAAGCGUUAUUCGGAAUUAUUGGGCGUAAAGGGCGCGUAGGCGGCUUUGCAAGUGGCGGGUGAAAGCCCACGGCUCAACCGUGGAGGGUCAUUGGAAACUGGGGGACUUGAGUACAGAAGAGAAGAGUGGAAUUCCACGUGUAGCGGUGAAAUGCGUAGAGAUGUGGAGGAACACCAGUGGCGAAGGCGACUCUUUGGUCUGUAACUGACGCUGAGGCGCGAAAGCGUGGGGAGCAAACAGG